UGGGGAAUAUUGCACAAUGGGCGCAAGCCUGAUGCAGCCAUGCCGCGUGUAUGAAGAAGGCCUUCGGGUUGUAAAGUACUUUCAGCGGGGAGGAAGGGAGUAAAGUUAAUACCUUUGCUCAUUGACGUUACCCCCAGAAGAAGCACCGGCUAACUCCGUGCCAGCAGCCGCGGUAAUACGGAGGGUGCAAGCGUUAAUCGGAAUUACUGGGCGUAAAGUGCACGCAGGCGGUCUGUCAAGUCGGAUGUGAAAUCCCCGGGCUCAACCUGGGAACUGCAUUCGAAACUGGCAGGCUAGAGUCUUGUAGAGGGGGGUAGAAUUCCAGGUGUAGCGGUGAAAUGCGUAGAGAUCUGGAGGAAUACCGGUGGCGAAGGCGGCCCCCUGGACAAAGACUGACGCUCAGGUGCGAAAGCGUGGGGAGCAAACAGG
rnacentral:rRNA from 1 species